GAAUAUUGGACAAUGGGCGCAAGCCUGAUCCAGCCAUGCCGCGUGAGUGAUGAGGGCCUUAGGGUUGUAAAGCUCUUUCGGCGGGGAAGAUAAUGACGGUACCCGCAGAAGAAGCCCCGGCCAACUUCGUGCCAGCCGCCGCGGUAAUACGAAGGGGGCUAGCGUUGCUCGGAAUCACUGGGCGUAAAGCGCACGUAGGCGGAUCUCUAAGUCAGGGGUGAAAUCCCGGAGCUCAACUCCGGAACUGCCUUUGAUACUGGGGAUCUCGAGUCCGGGAGAGGUGAGUGGAACUGCGAGUGUAGAGGUGAAAUUCGUAGAUAUUCGCAAGAACACCAGUGGCGAAGGCGGCUCACUGGCCCGGUACUGACGCUGAGGUGCGAAAGCGUGGGGAGCAAACAGG
rnacentral:rRNA from 1 species